rnacentral:rRNA from 1 species
UAGGCCAGAUGUGGAAGACCGGUAACGGUUGGAGCUGACUGGUACUAAUAGGCCGAGGGCUUGUCCUCAGUUG